UUGUUCUCUACCGCCUUCACCUCACGUUCAACGGUUCAGAGCCUGAUGGACACGCGCUCCAGGCCAAGACCUCGAGGAAUCUACCGCCUCUGUUUGGCUUUACCCCUGGCUUUCAUUUCAUCCGCCAGCGACGCACCACUGCACUGCACGCUGUGGUCGCUACGGCCAGCAGCAGGAGGAGGUUCAGAUCUGCCAAGCAGUCAAUACACACUAGCAAACAACAGGAUGAAACUGUUGUCGUUUACUGAGGCCCCUUCCCCCUGUGGCCUGUCGCAUGCAUGCACGGGGGCAGAUGGGCUGCUUGAUUGUUCUACUAGCCAGCCACCUCGCCCGUGCUCACUCUCCAUCCAGCUGCCGCUAGCUACUACUGCACUGCAGCGCCCCUGCAUACUUCAGAGCCGUGUGAAAAUGGCGGAUCGAUGGCAACCAUAUGGACUAUGGACUUAUGGAGAUCAGGCAGAAAUGAUUUCAUACUCCUACUACUUUGGCUGCAGCAGGGGGCGAUGUACAAAGUUGCAGAAAGCUUUUCCUUGCACACAGGGCAAGGUGAUGCAGUUCAUCUGCAAGCAUGUUAUUAUUCUAGUGCUAGCUCAUGAAUCACAAUAA
rnacentral:misc_RNA from 1 species